UCCACAAUUUAACGUCUUCCGUUUCUACCGUGUAGUCGCGAGAGGAAAAGCAGCGGGCAAGGAAAAUCCUGUUCUCACAGCAUGCUAAUAUUUUAGUCCCGGCAAUAGUGCCAUUUCUUGGCAUUUUAUCAGGUUAUUAAAGUAUGUGGGACCAAGGAAAAAACGACGGUUGUGAGGGGCCGGAAGACUUCAAUGGUCUGAUUGUCUGAUAUCUAUGGUUUUCAUUUGGGCUCAGCUGAUAUUAGUUUACGAAAGGAUUAUUGUGCUAAAUGCCUGAAAAGGGCACUGCUGAGAAGAUUUUGGCCCUUAUCUCAUCUAGACUUCGUUUUAUUUUUAACAUGAGCAAUAUUUUAUUGAUAGAAUAUUGAUGACGGACUGAUACAACUAAUAGCAGACGGAAAGGUUUUUAUUUUAUUUUAUUAUUAUUAUUUUUGUAUACAAUGGCAACUCUAUAUGAGUACAACUAAUAAAAUUAGAAAAAAAAUAUUAAUAAAGAGAUAACGGAACAAACUCGUGAUUCUCCCAAAAGAUCCCUCCCGAGUAUUGUGUAGUAAAGGAGGCAACUCAGUCAACAGCACUGUUUGCCUUCCAAUAAACAUGAAUAACCCGAAAUGAGCCACAUCCUCUCGAAAGCUUUUGUAUGUCCUAAAGCAGGCAGUUGCUCGUCGUCAUACCUGUGCCGACCUUGAAUCCAUGCUAUCACCAUAGUAGAAUUUCCUUCAAGGUAGAUGCUGUCCGCACCCAGAACUAGACUCGUAUGGGUGAUGCCUUCCUAUACAGCUCUCAGCUCUGCUCCGAUGACAGUCACGUCGAAUAUGCGUCGUUCUCCGGCUGCAACGAGUCUGAAGUCAUGACCUCUGAUCACAAAUCCCACUCCUCCUCUGCCUUCCCCCUCGGACAUACUACUGUCAAAGUUUACCUUAAGAAAGAUAGGGGGUGAGGGCUCCCAGAAGACAAAGGCAACCCUAGUCGCUGCAAAAACUGAAUGAGAGUCCCAGAUAUCCCUAACCGUCGCAAAUGAAACCACCGUGU
rnacentral:lncRNA from 1 species